rnacentral:rRNA from 1 species
UACGUAGGGGGCAAGCGUUAUCCGGAUUUACUGGGUGUAAAGGGAGCGUAGACGGCCAGACAGGUCUGAAGUGAAAAUCCAGCGCUUAACGUUGGAAGUGCUUUGGAAACUGCCGGGCUAGAGUGCAGGAGGGGCAGGCGGAAUUCCUAGUGUAGCGGUGAAAUGCGUAGAUAUUAGGAGGAACACCAGUGGCGAAGGCGGCCUGCUGGACUGCAACUGACGUUGAGGCUCGAAGGCGUGGGGAGCAAACAGG